rnacentral:lncRNA from 1 species
AAGGCAUCUAAUGAUUUGGGUGACUCACCUCUGCUUGCACAUACAGUAUCAGAGUCCUUUCUCUGGCACGUGUGGCCCGUGACAUAGAUGUCUGGAGUUGUUACCAACCGGUGGUUCCCAAAAUGAUGUCAGCCGCUUGCUGAACUGUCACAGAAGCAAGGUAAGCGCUGUGUAACUGCCUUCACAGCUGGGCUGGGCAACAAAACUGGCAAGUGCCAGUUCUGUGAGGACACGGAGGUAGCUGAAGGGAAAGCUGUCUGACAUCUGGCAACAGUUUAUAGGUCAAAACUUAAGAACAUGAAAUGCAGAAUCAAUGACUCGGGUAUCUCCACCCAAACCCAGUAAAUGAUAAAAAGAAGAAAGGUAUAUUUAUCAAACUUUGACUCCUUUAGAUGGAAAGGUCUCCAGAAGUGAGGCUACAUUCAAAGUUAGCCUCACGUAAAACCAUGGAUAAGAAGUGGCAGAAAGAGACAACAAACACCUUGUAAGUGAUGGCAGCACUACAAAAAACAUUUUCAUGGCUGGUGGGACCACUGUUCAUCCAUUUCUGCUGAAUCUACUCUUUCUCUUUAAAGGUCCAGCACGACGUUCAGCUGACUUACCAGGCUUGGGUUCCUCAGCAAACCACCUUACAUUGCCAGCCAUCAAACCUCAGCCGUGUCACCUCAGGAGGUCCACGCACAGCUCAGGAGACUAUUUCCCAGCCUUCCACAAGAAAUCAGAGGAACAUCCAGUGAGAUGUAAGCUGCUUGACCAGAGGGGAAGGAUGAAGAAGAUCCAACAUAUUUCCCAGAGCUGGAAUAGGAAAUAGAAGAGGGAUUGGAAAGGAAGAUUGGAUCCAACGUCCUCAAGGGCAAUUGCAGCAGCCAGAGCAGAGAUGGAGGAGGAAGGGGAUGAGGAGGGAGAAGGAGUUGUAUCUCACCAGCUUAAAUGGGACUUCUCAAUUCUUUAGGUUGUCAGGUAGACAGUUUGAUUCGUAAAGCAAAUCUGAUUCUGGACCGGCCA